AUUGAACGCUGGCGGCAGGCCUAACACAUGCAAGUCGAGCGCGUGGCGGACGGGUGAGUAAUGUAUGGGGAACUGCCCGAUAGAGGGGGAUAACUACUGGAAACGGUAGCUAAUACCGCAUACCAUCGGAUGUUCCCAUAUGGGAUUAGCUAGUAGGGGGGGUAAAGGCUCACCUAGGCGACGAUCCCUAGCUGGUCUGAGAGGAUGAACAGCCACACGGGAACGGAGACACGGCCCAGACGCCUACGUGAGGCAGCAGUGGGGAAUAUUGCACAAUGGGCGCAAGCCUGAUGCAGCCAUGCCGCGUGUAUGAAGAAGGCCUUAGGGUUGUAAAGUACUUUCAGCGGGGAGGCGUUACCCGCAGAAGAAGCACCGGCUAACUCCGUGCCAGCAGCCGCGGUAAUAC
rnacentral:rRNA from 1 species